rnacentral:lncRNA from 1 species
GUUGUUGAACCAUCCCUGCAUCCCUGGAAUAAAUCCCACUUGAUCAUGGUGUUAAUGAAAGAGAUGUAAGUGUGUGGGAAGGAGAACCAGCGCUGAAUUAUUCAUGAAGGUGAACAAUAGAGAAGCGUGAAGAAGUGGGUGCCUCGGAAGAUGGUGAUGAAAUAUAGAUCGCUUUCUUAUGACUUCUGAUCAGUGCUUUGAUUAAUAGGCCUCCGUAAUCAGCACAUUAAACCAGCUCCCUUACCAGAAUGCGUGUAUGAAUUUGUAGUCAGAAUGACUAAUUUGUUUUACUCUGUAUGAAUAGCUUUUGAUGUAUUAUAUUUAAAAUUUACUUUGGAAACAAGCGUAUGUGGCAAAUUAAAACAGAUAUAUAGUGCAUAUCAUAAGGCAAAAAGAAAAAUAUGCAUUGCCCAAAUUGUCAACCUUUAUAUUAUGUACAAUCUUAUGAAUACUUAAACAAACAUUCUCAACUCAUUCUUAUUUACAAGGUACUGUGACAGAAAAAAAGGAGCCCCAGGUUAGGGAUCCUCCGUCAACUGUAGAUCAGUGCAUAUGGUACAUCGUUACCAGGCUGAUUUUAAUGGGGUUUUAGAGCUUUAAAUUUCACAUCACAGUUGGUGCUGAUAUGCAUUUUACUGUUAUUGCCUUCUCUUUGCCAAAUAAAGAUAAUUGAUGAUUUUAGUGGAUUUUGAGAUUUCAAAGCAAUGUCUAUAUUUAACUUUGAUUUGUAUUUUUGCAUUAUGUUCAUUUAUUCCCAAGUCCAAUUUGCAUGGGUAAUUAUUAAAUGUUUAAAUUGAACAGCUAGGGGUUCAUUCUUAAAAUUAUUUUAAUGUUUUAUUCAAUUAGUCUCAGGUUGGACUGUCCAACCCAAUACAUUUUUUGAAAUUCGCCGCAUUGUGUAGGAUUCUCUUAUGUAACCAAAUACAUUAUGAAAAUUCUAAAAUUUUGUUACAGUCUUUGUGUUAGUUCAUAUGAAAUAAUUUAAGGAAUAAAAAUAGUAAAGCAAAAAA